rnacentral:rRNA from 1 species
GGAGCUGAAAUCAGUCGAAGAUACCAGCUGGCUGCAACUGUUUAUUAAAAACACAGCACUGUGCAAACACGAAAGUGGACGUAUACGGUGUGACGCCUGCCCGGUGCCGGAAGGUUAAUUGAUGGGGUUAUCCUCACGGAGAAGCUCUUGAUCGAAGCCCCGGUAAACGGCGGCCGUAACUAUAACGGUCCUAAGGUAGCGAAAUUCCUUGUCGGGUAAGUUCCGACCUGCACGAAUGGCGUAAUGAUGGCCAGGCUGUCUCCACCCGAGACUCAGUGAAAUUGAACUCGCUGUGAAGAUGCAGUGUACCCGCGGCAAGACGGAAAGACCCCGUGAACCUUUACUAUAGCUUGACACUGAACACUGGUCCUUGAUGUGUAGGAUAGGUGGGAGGCUUUGAAGUGUGGACGCCAGUCUGCAUGGAGCCAUCCUUGAAAUACCACCCUUUAAUGGCUGGUGUUCUAACGUGGGCCCGUAAUCCGGGUUGCGGACAGUGUCUGGUGGGUAGUUUGACUGGGGCGGUCUCCUCCUAAAGAGUAACGGAGGAGCACGAAGGUCAGCUAAUCCUGGUCGGACAUCAGGAGGUUAGUGCAAUGGCAUAAGCUGGCUUGACUGCGAGCGUGACGGCGCGAGCAGGUGCGAAAGCAGGUCAUAGUGAUCCGGUGGUUCUGAAUGGAAGGGCCAUCGCUCAACGGAUAAAAGGUACUCCGGGGAUAACAGGCUGAUACCGCCCAAGAGUUCAUAUCGACGGCGGUGUUUGGCACCUCGAUGUCGGCUCAUCACAUCCUGGGGCUGAAGUAGGUCCCAAGGGUAUGGCUGUUCGCCAUUUAAAGUGGUACGCGAGCUGGGUUUAGAACGUCGUGAGACAGUUCGGUCCCUAUCUGCCGUGGGCGCUGGAGAAUUGAGGGGGGCUGCUCCUAGUACGAGAGGACCGGAGUGGACGCAUCACUGGUGUUCGGGUUGUCAUGCCAAUGGCAUUGCCCGGUAGCUAAAUGCGGAAGAGAUAAGUGCUGAAAGCAUCUAAGCACGAAACUUGCCCCGAGAUGAGUUCUCCCUGACCCUUUAAGGGUCCUGAAGGAACGUUGAAGACGACGACGUUGAUAGGCCGGGUGUGUAAGCGCAGCGAUGCGUUGAGCUAACCGGUACUAAUGAACCGUGAGGCUUAACCUU